CCUCUUCUCCUUAUCCUCUAAUUCCUUCUCUCUCUCUAAGCUAAGAAGAGUUGAAGGAAAUUGAGCUGGCAGCUUUGGAGGCUUGAGGGCUGAAGUGCAAAUCUGAUCCCAGCAGUAAACUUCUGUUGAUUGGAGAUACUACAAGACCUGGAAAGUAUCUAAUCAAGCUUGAUGAAAUUGGGUUCUUUUGCUAUUUUGAGCUGAGAACAACCUGUCAAAGCUUAAAUUAAGGAGUGACAGGACUUGAAGCUUGAUUGAUUUGAGUUGUCGAAUUGAGAAGUUGUUGUUGUUGAAGCUGAGGGCAAUCUAGUAGGAGCUUAAACUAAGGAAUUAAGUGGAAUUGUUGAAACAUCUUGGAGCAACAACUAAUCAAGCUGACAGCUUGAUGAAAUGAUGAUGUUGGUGUUGCCGAAAUGCAGGAAUGGGUCUUUGAUACAGUAAGCAAGCAAUCCAGCAUCUGAUUAAGUGGCCAAAGUGAAGUGAAGACUGGUUAGUGCUGCCGAGUUCAUGAAUUCAGCUGAGAAGGUUUAAAACUUGAGAUUUGAAGUGAUCAAGUUGGUGCUGCCAGGAUCUGAUAUUGGACUAUUUGAAGUAGUAAGCUGAAAUCAAGUUGGUGAAUGGUAUUUGGACAAUGAAUUAGGGCUGCAGCUGGGCUGAAGUGGCUGUUCUUGGUGUUCGAAUUGAGGAGGGGUCUAGUAGAGCUUAAUUGCUGCUGGAAUUUGAAGCAAGUAAUUAAAAGCUGAGCUUGGACUGCAACAGAGAGAGACCAAGUGGAAGCUUCAGCUGAGAGUAACUUGUUAAAGGCAUUUGAUUGAGGUAAAUAACUUCAAUUUUAGUUGAAUAGAUCAAUUUUCAGCUUGAUGCUGAAAUCAAUUACUUGCAUUAGGAGCAUGUAUGCAAGUGUUGCUUGACUUGGGUA